rnacentral:rRNA from 1 species
UCAGGACUGAACGCUAGCUACAGGCUUAACACAUGCAAGUCGAGGGGCAGCAUUGGAGUAGCAAUACUCAGAUGGCGACCGGCGCACGGGUGAGUAACACGUAUCCAACCUGCCGCUUACUCGGGGAUAGCCUUUCGAAAGAAAGAUUAAUACCCGAUGGUAUAAAGAGUUCGCAUGUUCUCUUUAUUAAAGAAUUUCGGUAAGCGAUGGGGAUGCGUUCCAUUAGAUAGUUGGCGGGGUAACGGCCCACCAAGUCUACGAUGGAUAGGGGUCUGAGAGGAAGGUCCCCCACAUUGGAACUGAGACACGGUCCAAACUCCUACGGGAGGCAGCAGUGAGGAAUAUUGGUCAAUGGACGAGAGUCUGAACCAGCCAAGUAGCGUGAAGGAUGACUGCCCUAUGGGUUGUAAACUUCUUUUAUAAGGGAAUAAAGUGAGGGACGUGUCCCUUUUUGUAUGUACCUUAUGAAUAAGGAUCGGCUAACUCCGUGCCAGCAGCAGC